rnacentral:lncRNA from 1 species
CUUUACUUUGUGUGCCUCUAGUAGGGCCUGAUCAUAUAGUGACGAGGUAGGUUGGGCCUUUGCGGGGACACAUUAUGUUGGGGGGUUGUAAUUGAGUGACUCGGUGCUCCAGCGUGUGGCAUUUAUGCGACUUCACCCCUGGCGAGUGAAGUAAUGAAAUACCCGCGAAAGGUCACUCCUGCACGUUCUGAACCUUCCCUUAGGUAAAGCCGCAAACAACAGGCGCAAAAUAUGUGUAGGUCCUACGCUUAAAAUGGAAUACCAGCUACGGACGCGGCAUAUUUGUUGUCCGAGGGGUUGUGUCCGUUAGUGUCCGUUCGUUGAGGCCCGCACUGAACUCGCGUACUUAAUUCUGUCAGCGCAUAAAGUUUGUCUUCGGCGUAAAAGUACGAAAAGUACGAAAAAUCCGUUACGAUCAGGCCCUACUAGGCAGAAUGCAGUCUUGCCUCCAGCUCUUGCCUUCCUGCCCUCUUAGGCUCAUCUAGGAAGCGGGACCCUCUCUAACGAAGCCUCACAACGAACCCAACACGCCGCUUGGAAACGGCCGGGUGCUGCCGCGCAUUGGAUCCCUGGAAACCACCACCUAGAUCCCCAUCGAUGGCCAUCAUAGGAGGCCGUCUCCCCUGGUGACCAUCGGCCAGCUUGAGACGGCUUGAGAGCGUAGCCAGGCUGUUACAAAACCACUGCUUGACGAAGCCUGAGCAUUCAUUAUGCCAUGUGUGCGCGCGUUUCGAUGAGACAGUGUAAGAUCAUGCCUUUAAGCCCUGUUUUCGCACGAACGCCUACCCUGCACGUACCUUCAGCCUGCGCCAUGCUAACAGUUUCCUCCGCUGCUCACCGGAAUCGCCAGCAUCAGCGAUUAUCUUAUGGCUGUGUGUGAGAUCAACGGCGAUGUCUUAAGGCAAACUGUUUAAUGCGCAUGAUAAACAAGCUCGUAGAAAGUUGCAAGACGCAAACGAGCCAGGGAACAGACGCAGGUCCGCAGUACACAUGAAUCCAUUUUAAAAUAAGCUUGGCACGGGCCGCAGACGCACGCUAUGCACACUGGCAACGAGACUUCCAUCUUGAGACCUUUUGGACCUGCCGGCGUCAGGUGUAAGCCAAUACCCAAGCCGAGCGUGCCCACACGAAGUUACUCCAAGUAUUCCAUAACCAAAAGUACACGUCCUCAUGUCUUGCAUAAAGAGCUUCGCAAGCUUUAUGCUAUACUUCGCCUUGAAAACGGCAAAAUUCCAUGUCGGUGAAUCGUUGUGCCCGGAUUACUACACCUGCAAUCCGUACCGCAUGCUGCUAUUCGUGCUGUGAAUUGAGCUUGACAGAGACAGAGGACAUGACAAGGUUCAAGGCAGAUAAUGCGAUCAGCAAUAAGUAUAUGCAAUGCUUACAAAGAUUUCUCCGUAACAGCCUUUAAUAGUGCGGGUCAUAGACCGCGUCUAGUAGUUGUCGAAAUGAUACUAUUGAUAAUCCUUGUCUUGGCAUUUUUUGCAAAUGCUUCUUCAUAUGAGGGACCAGCGCUUAACAAACCCCAACGGCAACGCGGAAGCCUAAUGGUCCCGCUGCACCAGCGAAGCUUUUCAAGCUGGCGGCGGCAUCUCUUGCGAAGUGGUCCUCUACCUGUUCAGGGUUCCGUGCGAGAAGUAGG